UACGAAGGACCCAAGCGUUAUCCGGAUUUAUUGGGUUUAAAGGGUGCGUAGGCGUCCCGGAAAGUUACGGUUGAAAUCUUCUUGCUUAACAAGGAAACUGGCCGUAAAACUAUCGGGAUUGAGUACAUCUGAAGCGGGCGGAAUGUGUCAUGUAGCGGUGAAAUGCAUAGAUAUGACACAGAACACCGAUUGCGAAGGCAGCUCGCUAAACUGUAACUGACGCUGAGGCACGAAAGCGUGGGGAUCAAAC
rnacentral:rRNA from 1 species